rnacentral:rRNA from 1 species
UGGGGAAUUUUGGACAAUGGGGGAAACCCUGAUCCAGCCAUCCCGCGUGUGCGAUGAAGGCCUUCGGGUUGUAAAGCACUUUUGGCAGGAAAGAAACGUCGUGGGUUAAUACCCCGCGAAACUGACGGUACCUGCAGAAUAAGCACCGGCUAACUACGUGCCAGCAGCCGCGGUAAUACGUAGGGUGCAAGCGUUAAUCGGAAUUACUGGGCGUAAAGCGUGCGCAGGCGGUUCGGAAAGAAAGAUGUGAAAUCCCAGAGCUUAACUUUGGAACUGCAUUUUUAACUACCGGGCUAGAGUGUGUCAGAGGGAGGUGGAAUUCCGCGUGUAGCAGUGAAAUGCGUAGAUAUGCGGAGGAACACCGAUGGCGAAGGCAGCCUCCUGGGAUAACACUGACGCUCAUGCACGAAAGCGUGGGGAGCAAACAGGAUUAGAUACCCUGGUAGUCCACGCCCUAAACGAUGUCAACUAGCUGUUGGGGUCUUCGGACCUUGGUAGCGCAGCUAACGCGUGAAGUUGACCGCCUGGGGAGUAC